rnacentral:rRNA from 1 species
ACGGAGGGUGCAAGCGUUAAUCGGAAUUACUGGGCGUAAAGCGCACGCAGGCGGUUGGAUAAGUUAGAUGUGAAAGCCCCGGGCUCAGCCUGGGAAUUGCAUUUAAAACUGUCCGGCUAGAGUCUUGUAGAGGGGGGUAGAAUUCCAGGUGUAGCGGUGAAAUGUGUAGAGAUCGGGAGGAACACCGGUGGCGAAGGCGGGUCUCUGGGCAUUUCCUGACGCUGAGGCGCGAAAGCGUGGGGAGCAAACAGGA